rnacentral:misc_RNA from 1 species
GAUGAAGAACGUAGCGAAAUGCGAUAAGUAGUGUGAAUUGCAGAAUUCAGUGAAUCAUCGAAUCUUUGAACGCACAUUGCGCCCCUUGGUAUACCGAGGGGCAUGCCUGUUCGAGCGUCAUUUCACCACUCAAGCCUGGCUUGGUGUUGGGCGACGUCCUCUUUGGGGACGCGCCUCGAAACGCUCGGCGGCGUGGCACCGGCUUUAAGCGUAGCAGAAUCUUUCGCUUUGGAAGUCGGGGCCCCGUCUGCCGGAAGACCUGCUCGCAAGGUUGACCUCGGAUCAGGCAGGGAUACCCGCUGAACUUAAGCAUAUCAAUAAGCGGAGGA